rnacentral:lncRNA from 1 species
CCUGCUUCCGCCGCCAAGCUUAUCCUCGCCGGCGCAGUAGCACGAUGCCCCCGUCAACCUCAUCCACCAUGCCACCUUGCCCAGUCCUCAUCCUCGACGCAACGUAGCGUCCCUGCAUCCUUGCUUCCUAGCUAUAUAUAGCCGCCUCGCCCCUCGCUGGAGCCUCGCACCACCGAGGCAGGCCACGUCUUAUCCCCUAGCUAUUGCGCCUCCGCCCCUCUCCUCCUCCCCUCUCCAACCCCCGGCAUGGGUCGCGUGCCUCCUCCUCGUGCUCCCUACGCCUCCCUCUUGGCCAAACAAGGCCCGAAGCACUCUUUCGCACUCUUCCCCCCCAAGCUCCAGCCCCCCUUACCUUUCUCCCAUGGCGGCUAAGCUAGAGGAGGAAGACGACCGGAGCGCCGUUUGCCCCGGUGUCCCUCUGUCUACACCCUGUCUCACAUACUGCUUGCAAGCUCCACCCUGGGGAGACGGCGUCAAGCCCCAUCCGUCGCCACCCUGCCUCCUGAUCCGCCUGGGCGCGGUCCACCUGGACCAUAGACCCAGCGCCCCAAUCCACAAAGCCCACGGGGGCCGCGCAUGGCACAGUGUGCCAAGCGUCCCACCCCACUACGUCAGCCCCUUCAAAAAUGCUACGCGCACUCAGUAAGUGCACACAAACUUUUACUUAGAGACCUUCCUCUAUUCCAAAAAUUAUCCAAAAAUACUAAAAAAUAUUCUAAGACCAUCCAUGUUUUCCUUUUCCAAAGUUCAUCCCAUAUAGCCCCUUUUCCAAAUUACCAUCCUCCCAUAUAAUAGAAAAGCCCUAUUAUGUGUACACCAAAUAUCGCUAAGGUCUUAUAGCCCCAACUUUUUAGAAAAAUGCCGCACCACCUCCACCCGCCGCCAUGUACUAACCCCUAGGUGUCGGGCCGGGUCAAAGUCAAGUGCGUCGUGCAACCUUUAGCCACUAUUACCCAUGACUGUAACAACACUCAGCUAUUGCCUCACUAUCCUAUUAUUGCUGCUAACCCCAAUCGUUGCCACACAUCUGCCUGAUCUUGUAUCGGCCCCACCUGUCACCUUGUGUUCUACCCCCUAGCACUAGGGCAGGUUGAAGUGGUGUCUAUCGUACAAGCUCUCUGACUUCUAUUCCACUUAGUCUUGCUUGACUGCGUCUGUCGCCUUGUGUGCUAUCCUCUAGUACUAGGACAGACCAACUGCCGCGCAAGUCUCCUUUACCCUGACCCUGACUUGUUUUCACAACUCCUUAGUGACCCCAACCCUUAAGGAUCUAUUCAAAACUCCUAAUCCCUUCCACCACCUAGCCAAUAUGCUACCCGAUCCAAACCUUACAUAUCAACCCAGUCUAGCCGAUAUGUCGCCCAAUUGAAACCCUAAUUAUUGACAAAACCCUAGCCAUUAUGUCGCCCAUCCAAAACCAUAAGAAAUCCAUUCGUAAUUUCUUAGAAAUCUCUUACAAAUCUAGUAACCCCUCCAUUAAUUAUUUAGAAAUAUUUCUAAAUAAUUAAUAAAAUACCCAUAAAUUAUUCGGGAAAUAUCCUUUAGAAAUCCGAUAAUUUACAAAGCCUCCGACAUCCAUUCUUCUUCAUUUUCUUUAGUGUAUAUUGAUUGCUAGAAUUUAUUGUCUAUUUGUAUGUUUGUGUGAACCGAGGAUACGACCAAGAUCCGGCCGGAAGUUAAGGAUCCAAAAGGUUUGAAGCCAAAGGACCGGCCAUCCAGAAGACGAGUAGACGCGUUAGCCUGACCAGGCUCCGACAAGAAGCCAAGGAUUCGGAAGACGAGAAGUCAAGAUCCUGAUCAACCCAGGAGAUGAAUUAAGGAUCCCUAAUGAAGGAAAGUCCUAGCAUCCACUCCUUGAUCAUACUUUUGCCCUAUUUUUCAUUAGAGAUAGAAUUCAUUAGAAUAUUUCAAAUACAAUGUUUUUAUGAAAAACCGUAGAAGGCAUGAGUUUGAUAAAAUGAACCAACUAAAGAGUUAGAAACCCCUAAGGAUAGGACAAGGAAGUAAGGGGGCAGCCUCGUUGGAGGAUCCUGUCCCAAAAGCUUACUUCGGUCGCAUAAGGGCUCACGGGAAAGUCUUUCUAAUGAAAUGUGCAACCAUACGUGUUAAAAAGGUACAACCUUCGGGAGUGCCUAUUUACGUGAGGUCUUGGUUCACACCCUGGUAGUUGAACCUAGAAAUCCAUCCCAAGGGGCCACGGUGGGCAACAAUAUGCUAGAGCAGGACCUUCGCAUAGUCCCAGGUUUGGUCAGCACGGGUUGACUGAGAGGGUCGGAGACCUUGAGGGCAGAGGUCAUGUUUAUUAUGUGCACAUUUUCCCAGGUUGAUAUCCCCAGUAUGUCCGUAGAUGGAACUAGGGAAUGCUUCCUAGCGAUAGGCAUAGGCGGGUAUGGAUCUCGUAGGUCAGUACCGCCUACCGGAAGGUAUGGGUUGACUGGACAUAUGGGUAAAGUGUACAAACUCUGCAGAGUUAUAAAUCUAUCCGGAUGGUUGAGGCUCACGAUCGCGAGCCCACGUAAUCAAAGCUCCCGUCGAUUAGUAAUUACAACUUGGGUGUGGUGAGAUAGGGCCAAGGCUCUAAGAGAGUAAUUUUGAACAAGGUAUAAGCUGGCUAGAAAGACCCUGACGAUCUCUGGUGCUCCUUAAAACUUGGGAACUGGUAGGGGAGAUAAGAUUCCUCCUCCAUGGCCAACAACAUAAUAAGUAUGCCUUCUUUCUCCUCCUUUUUUAGAACUCAUCAUCACCUCACCUUGCAUAAAAUAGGUUUAUUGAUGAAAUCAAACCCCAUUCCCUUGCCUUGAUCAAUCCUACAUUUAAUAUAAUUUCAAUGCUAGAAUUUGCUGGGUUCCAAUCAUAAGUAUACUCAGCCUUACUUUCAUUUAUACAAGCUUAGGGUUCCCGGUGCUAUGGUUCAUUUUGCGGAAUGGGCGACAGCUCCACUCUCUGCUACACAUAGGUGAAACUAUUUUUUAUUAUUUUAUGCGUCCUUUAUUAGUUAUGAUACUAAUCCGUGAUGAGAAAUGUAUUAGCAUACUAAUCCAGGAACUAAUACAGAUAAUCAGCGGGACUUUAAGAGUAAGGCCCCACAAUAUAUCUAAAAUGGAGGGAGUUGUGCAACUAACUAUGGGUUGUAUUGAUUGCCUCAUAAAUGCCCGGCCCGUGCCUUGUUUAACCAGGCCACACGAAAUAUGGAAGUACCGUACUCUGACCUUUGUUAUAAUCCUCGAGUGGAAAUAGGAACAAGAUGGUUGGAAUGAUUACUUGGUAUUACGUUUAGGAUUACUUAAUUACUCUCUUCAUUUAAAAUUUUUAAAUGAACUCUAAAAAACGGAGGAAGUGUGCAACUAACUACGGGUUGUAUAGAUUGCCUCGUAAAUGUCCGUGCCUUGUUUAACCAGGCCGCACGAAUAUGUUGCGGUGUCAGCUCUAGCUCAC